rnacentral:rRNA from 1 species
CCUACGGGUGGCAGCAGUGGGGAAUAUUGCGCAAUGGGCGAAAGCCUGACGCAGCGACGCCGCGUGAGGGAUGAAGGUCUUCGGAUCGUAAACCUCUGUCAGCAGGGAAGAACGGUCACUGUGCUAAUCAGCAGUGAAUUGACGGUACCUGCAAAGGAAGCACCGGCUAACUCCGUGCCAGCAGCCGCGGUAAUACGGAGGGUGCGAGCGUUAAUCGGAAUUACUGGGCGUAAAGCGCUCGUAGGCGGUAUGUCAAGUCAAGGGUGAAAUCCCAGGGCCCAACGGGCGAACGGCCUUUGAAACUAGCAAACUAGAGUUUGAGAGAGGGUAGCGGAAUUCCAGGUGUAGGGGUGAAAUCCGUAGAUAUCUGGAAGAACAUCAGUGGCGAAGGCGACUAUCUGGCACAUAACUGACGCUGAGGAGCGAAAGCGUGGGUAGCAAACAGGAUUAGAUACCCGGGUAGUC